ensembl:lincRNA
AUGGAGGACACUCAGAAUGACACAACUCCCAUUCCUCCUGCCACAGGAAGAACCUGCCACAUCUCAAUGGCACAAGGCAUCAUGAUUCCCAAAGCCUAUGAACCUCGCAGAGGAAUAAAAUGUGUCGGUGGCAGAAAUGGAUCUACCCAGCGGCACAAGACAGGGCCCAACCAGCAGCUGCGUGUGAGCCAGCGGGAGAUGUUCAAGGCUUGUUAUUACAGAACUUCAAUUGUCCCCUCUCUCCCUGACCACAAACUGCAUCCCGUAGUCAAGAGCUCUCAACUUUCCUAGUACGCACUGAAUUGGAAGUCUGGAUUUUUCACUUUCCUCUAUGAAGUCACAUUUUCCUCAAAAUAAUGAAGCUACUUCAUGAGAACAUAAAUGUUUGCACUGGUACAGUAGUUUGUUUUUAAUCAUUUUAGCAUUGUAAAUUGGAGGGCAAUAUAUAUAACAUAAAAAUAUCUGAUAACUUACCACACAGCCCAUGAGCUGAGACUGCUAGUACCCACACCUACCCAUGUGCUCCUCCAGGAUCCCACCUCCUGCUUCUCCAGAGGGAACCACCAGCCUGAAUUCUGUGUUCAUCCAUCCUUUCCUCCUCAUAUGUGUGUGCAUGUCUGUGUAUAUCAAUGUCUUUAGCUAUGGAGAUACGUUUUUACUUUUCAGGCAGUUUCAUGCUCUUUGUAGUGUUUCUGACAUACCACUAUGUUUCCAAGACACAUCCACAUAGUUCUGUGAGCUAAUAAUUCAACCACUCAUCUGGAGGAUGUGUCCCAAUCCAGUACUGUACCACAUUUAUUUAUCCAUUCUUUUCCUUUCUAUCCUCAGCUUUCAAAAUUCCCCAUUAAUAAGUGUUAGAAGGAAAGCACUGGAGCAGAAAGCUCAGUUCCUCUUAGAACCGUAACUGGAGGAAGAACAAGGACUUUGGAGUCACGGAUCUGCACUGCAAUCCUGGUUGCACUUCUGGGGAUGGUGGAUGUGUCCGCCAUUUUGAUCAUGGUGCUUGUCUCUUGUGUGUCCAUCCAUGUCAAAACUUGUUAAGUUAUACACUUUAAAUACAGAUAGCUUAUUUUAUGUGAGUUACACAUAAAAUAUUACCAUAAUAAAGCUCUUUUAGAAGAGGGAUCUUCUUUCGGUAUUGGAUCUUAAGUGACUCAGUCUCUCUCAGAUGUGGUUUCCUCAUCCACGUCGUGGGUGUCACCAAAACCCCCUUGCAUGGUAGCAGAACAUGACACUGAGCAUAGUAACUGGACCCUGAGCUCUCUCUGUGCCCGGUGCUUAGCUCUAUGUCAGGAACACAGAGCACAAGAAGCGAAAGGCGCUUUCCUUCCAUCCGGAAGAGAAGGUAGAGGAGAGUGGAGGGUAUGUACAGUGUUACAGGAUGUGCACAGAUUAGACAGAGCGAGUUACCGGAGACACUGCAUUGGUCCGCAUCCAUCAUGACCUGGGCGUGACAGAACCCGAGGAUGCCAUCCCUGCCUGCCACGCUACAGAGUGCUAACAGCGUGCCAGAACUUGCAGCUCACUGAGGACCGGGAGCCACCAUUGACUCCUUUAUGUUUUCACUGUGUCCUGCAGUGACUCACAGAGACCCAGUAGGAAAGGAUUACAUUCAGAGCCAUCAUUUCUAGACUCUCAACUACCCUAGGCCAGGGGUUAGGUCUGCACACUGAGCUCAAGCAGCACUUAACGUUUUGGGGGUGAAGGAGGAUAAAGAAUGCAUAAAUGCUAGACAAGUCAAAGAUGGCAUGAGAAACCAGGGCUGGUGGUGCACACCUGUAAUCCCAGCACUCAGGAAGCUAAGGCGAGAGGACCACUGUGAGUCUGAGGCUACUCUGGGCUACAUAGUGAGUUCUGCCUGGGCUAGGCACUGACACCCUGUCUCAGAAAAACAGACAAAGCAUGAGAGAUGACACAGGAAAUCACAGUGAGCGACAAGGAAUCUGGGUGAUAUAGUGAUUUUUUCCCUUUUCUUUAACCAACAUGCUAUAAUGAAAGCAAUGUAAGCCUGAGACUCUCUGCUUGUAGUUUUGAGAAAGUAACUUUGUAUUUCUGAACCUCAGCUUCCAGAUCAUUAAAAUGACAGCAACAACUAUCAAAAAUACCUAAUGCAGGGGAGAGUCUAAUGGAAAAUGAGCUAUGAUUUGUGGGAAAGUUCUGAAAUGUCCUCAGGUGUCCUACAGUCAUUGCAAAUUGACUAGAGUAACCACCAGGGAAGUUCUUCAUAUAGAGGACAUGUGAAACUGCCACAACCGGAAAUUGUUAGACGCUGCUAAAACCUCCCAACAUCAUUGCCUUAGGCAGGAAAUUCUGCGUGGGUAGAAUAAAAGACAAGACGAUUGGGAGAGUGGCCAAAUUUUCACAAAAACAGACAUUGUCUAUUGAGCCAUUUUCUUUGAUGUCUGGUUUGAGAAAUGAAGCAGUUUAAUAAAAGUAAUCAGGAUCUUCCGAGUCUGUACUUCGUACCAGGCUCCGCCCUAAGGGUUUCUCAGACAUCAAUGGACUCUGGCCUCACAAUACCCCUCCAAGUUCGGUAGGGUUGCUGUGUAACUUAUUAUCCGAGCCGGAACACCUCUGAGAACGAAAAGGGAUGCUGUGAAUAAUUACACGGGGCAGCAGCUGCAGCCAGCGAGGCAGAGCCACCAGCCUGGACAGGUGGGGAAGCUGCCCAAAGUUCAGGGAGCCUCCUGCGUGUACUGUUACAGCAGCAAGGGGACUGCCCCCCUCUUCAAAGUCCUCCUUGGGCUGAAACAUUUCCUUCAAGACAGCCUCAAACACAACCAGCUCAAAGAACAACAGGAUACAGAAAAGAAAAUUUUGGUUUUUAACACAACCUCUGACGCCAACCAUUUAUUGCCAAAAUUCCAAGCUAAUGCAUCUCUUUGGGGGUGAAUUUUAUACAGGGGAUUGAGUAAUUCAUAACUGAUGUCAUUUCUCUAGGACAAUUGGACCUCUGUGAACAUUUCCCAGAAUCAGUGAGCAUGCCAUCAAAUAGAACAUCUGACAGUGGCAGUUGGAGAAAUUCCCCAUCAGCCCCCAGGAAGUAUUUUGGCACCUGUACCUGAAUUCCCAUCAAAUACCUGAAUAACCUCUUUGGUUGUAACUGGUAUACACUGACAACGGAAGGGGAGAAAAGGCAAGACUAAAACAAAAAACAAUGACUUAUUCUUUAACUUUACAGGUGAAAGGUAUCUUCUGGAAAUUCCUAAUGCCUUUGCUGACAGCAUUUUGUCAUGCAGCAUGCUUACUAUUUAGACGAUACUGCAAGAACAACUGGAAAUAAUUGGAACAAUUUUUUUCUUGCUACACUGUUACCACUUUCAAUACCAAAGAUAUGUGAGGCUAUCAGUAGCAAAAUACCUUUGUUCAUACCAUAAAACAGAGUGUAGAGUCCUACUUGGUGUUUUGGAUUAGGAUCAUUGGAGUAAUGACUCUAGAACAAUUAACCAGAGUAAGUAACUGGAACAGAUGUCUUUUAGGCUCUCUAAUUUGUACGUUCUUAACUUUUGCCUAUUAGCAACUCUUAUUUUGGGAAAGAACUCCUAUCCUAAGCACAAAAAGGAGUCUCACUAUGUGUUGAAUGAAAGUUAGAUGCCUUUCUUUGUAAAUGUCUCUGCUGACUUACAAUCAUUGGUAGCCUAAGUGUUUGGUAACAUGUGUGCUUCUUCUGUUAUACAGGCCUCUCCCUAGGCCCUACCCCUAAAGCCCACCUCCAGUAGAAUCCCCCUCAAACACUUCUACACCUUCUGUUUAAAGUGAUCCAACCAUGUAGCAAAUUUAAGACCCUGGAUCACAGUUAAGGGUCUUGAUCUUAACUUGGAGGUAGCAUAAAGAACUGGCUUGGAGACCAUUUUACACUGACUAGAUUCCCACCCAAAUGAUUCCAGGGGCCAACUUGAUCCCAUGCAGGCUUAGGUCUGUUUCUAGAGCAUAGGUUCUGUUUGUAAGGUUCUGCUCUGCUGCUGUGUACCCUCGGGGCCGCAUGAAAGGGACCCCUGGCCUUCGCAUUCAUACCUGGAAAAGGCAGCACUCCUUCCUCUUCCCUUCCCAAGUGAAGAACUUUUAGAUUCAGCCUCUCCAGCUCUCUCCCUCCUUCUCCCACCCUCUUAAAACAAAAAACACCCAAAUCAAAAUAUGCUACUCACUUUUUUUUUUUUUUGAGACAGAGCCUUGCUACAUAGUUCAGGGUGGCCUUGAACUCACAGCAAUCCUCCUACCUCAGUCUCCAGAGUGCUGCAGUUACAGUUGUGAACCACCAUGCCCGGUCCCACUCACCUUUUUAUUGGUAUUGUGUUAAUUUUAUAAACUAACUUGGGCAAAACUGAUGGCUUUUUUUUAGAGUCUUCCAAUCUCAGCACAUAAUGCACUUUUUCAUUUACUCAACUCUUGUGUUCUUCUACAGCAUUUUAAAGUUUGUUUUCGUGUGGAUCUCAUGUUUCCCUUAUUAAGUUAAUCCCUAUUUUGGCUGCUAUAGCAAUUUCAAAUAAGUCAUAUCUUCUACUUUGACUUUGUAGAUAUGAAAGUUAUGCUUUCCUGUGUGUUAAUUCUUAUGCUUUACUACAGUGUUGUAUUUUAUUAUUUAUAAUUGUUUUAAAUUUUUAUGUUCCUGAAUUUGCCAUGUAUACAAACUUACAGUGUACAACAGGUGGUGAUCUAACCCCAAUCUUUCCUAUUUUUACACUCGUGAGUCCACAGUUUCCUUAACCGUGCUGGCUAGUUCUUCCCACACAAUUUUAGGUAGAAAUGAAACUGUCUUCUCUUGUCUUUCAUCCUAAGGAAAGCACAGGCCAUUGAAAAUUAGGUUGCAUCUGGGGACCAGGCAGACCAACUUUAAAUUAUAGGAGUACCCACAUGUUCUUCCACUCCUUUUUCUCUUUCAAAAUCAAGACUGGCUAUUAAAUUGCACCAACUAUCUUGUCAGUAUCUGUGGCUUUAAUUACCAGGUUUUUCUCCGCAGGUCUAUUACUAUGAUUAAUACAUGACUAUAUUACAUAUUGAACAUUCUUGCAUUCCAUGAAAAUAAACCCAAGUUGAUUUGUGAAUAUUUGUCUUUUAAUAAGCUGCUGGACUAUUUCUUAAUGUUUGCUUAUGAUUUAUAAAGCCACUAUUCACGAAUGAAACUGGUCAGGUAAUUUUCUGCUUUGUGCAGUCUUU